CCUACGGGGUGCUGCAGUGAGGAAUAUUGGUCAAUGGCCGGAAGGCUGAACCAGCCAUGCCGCGUGAAGGUCAGUGCCCUAUGGGCGUUAAACUUCUUUUGUGCGGGAGCAAUAAUGGUCACGUGUGGCCAGACGAGAGUACCGUACGAAUAAGCAUCGGCUAACUCCGUGCCAGCAGCCGCGGUAAUACGGGGGAUGCAAGCGUUAUCCGGAUUUAUUGGGUUUAAAGGGUGCGUAGGCUGUGAGGUAAGUCAGCGGGGAAAUGCCCCCGCUCAACGGGGUGAAGUGCCAUUGAUACUGCCUUGCUGGAAUGCGGAUGCCGUGGGAGGGAUGUGUGGUGUAGCGGUGAAAUGCAUAGAUAUCACACAGAACACCGAUUGCGAAGGCAUCUCACGAAUCCGCGAUUGACGCUGAUGCACGAAAGCGUGGGUAUCAAACAGGAUUAGAUACCCGAGUAGUC
rnacentral:rRNA from 1 species